CCUACGGGCGGCUGCAGUGGGGAAUAUUGCACAAUGGGCGCAAGCCUGAUGCAGCCAUGCCGCGUGUGUGAAGAAGGCCUUCGGGUUGUAAAGCACUUUCAGCGGGGAGGAAGGCGGUGAGGUUAAUAGCCUCAUCGAUUGACGUUACCCGCAGAAGAAGCACCGGCUAACUCCGUGCCAGCAGCCGCGGUAAUACGGAGGGUGCAAGCGUUAAUCGGAAUUACUGGGCGUAAAGCGCACGCAGGCGGUCUGUCAAGUCGGAUGUGAAAUCCCCGGGCUCAACCUGGGAACUGCAUUCGAAACUGGCAGGCUAGAGUCUUGUAGAGGGGGGUAGAAUUCCAGGUGUAGCGGUGAAAUGCGUAGAGAUCUGGAGGAAUACCGGUGGCGAAGGCGGCCCCCUGGACAAAGACUGACGCUCAGGUGCGAAAGCGUGGGGAGCAAACAGGAUUAGAUACCCGAGUAGUC
rnacentral:rRNA from 1 species